CCUUCGGGCGCUGACGAGUGGCGGACGGGUGAGUAACGCGUAGGAAUCUGCCUGAUAGUGGGGGACAACUUAGGGAAACUUAAGCUAAUACCGCAUACGCUCCUUGUUGCAAGAUGGGGAGGAAAGCGGGGGCUCCUGUUCUUCGGAAUGGGACCUCGCGCUAUCAGAUGAGCCUGCGUUAGAUUAGCUGGUUGGUGGGGUAAAGGCCUACCAAGGCGACGAUCUAUAGCUGGUCUGAGAGGACGAUCAGCCACACUGGGACUGAGACACGGCCCAGACUCCUACGGGAGGCAGCAGUGGGGAAUAUUGGACAAUGGGCGCAAGCCUGAUCCAGCAAUACCGCGUGUGUGAAGAAGGCCCUAGGGUUGUAAAGCACUUUCAACGGGGAGGAAAACCUGCCGGCCAAUACCUGGCAGCUUGACAUUACCUGUAGAAGAAGCACCGGCUAACUCCGUGCCAGCAGCCGCGGUAAUACGGAGGGUGCGAGCGUUAAUCGGAAUUACUGGGCGUAAAGCGUGCGUAGGCGGUUGAUUAAGUCAGAUGUGAAAGCCCCGGGCUUAACCUGGGAACGGCAUUUGAUACUGGUUAACUCGAGUUUAAUAGAGGGGAGUGGAAUUUCAGGUGUAGCGGUGAAAUGCGUAGAUAUCUGAAGGAACACCAGUGGCGAAGGCGACUCCCUGGAUUAAAACUGACGCUGAGGUACGAAAGCGUGGGUAGCAGACAGGAUUAGAUACCCUGGUAGUCCACGCCGUAAACGAUGUCAACUAGCCGUUGGUCCUAUUUACAGGAUGAGUGGCGCAGCUAACGCAUUAAGUUGACCGCCUGGGGAGUACGGCCGCAAGGUUAAAACUCAAAUGAAUUGACGGGGGCCCGCACAAGCGGUGGAGCAUGUGGUUUAAUUCGAUGCAACGCGAAGAACCUUACCUACCCUUGACAUCCAUAGAAUCA
rnacentral:rRNA from 1 species